rnacentral:rRNA from 1 species
ACCGGGGCUAAUACCGCAUAAUAUCGCGAGAUCAAAGUAGCAAUACGCUUGAGGAGGGGGUCGCGGCUGAUUAGCUAGUUGGUAGGGUAAUGGCCUACCAAGGCUGAGAUCGGUAUCCGGCCUGAGAGGGCGCACGGACACACUGGAACUGAAACACGGUCCAGACUCCUACGGGAGGCAGCAGUGGGGAAUUUUGCGCAAUGGGGGAAACCCUGACGCAGCAACGCCGCGUGGAGGAUGAAGUCCCUUGGGACGUAAACUCCUUUCGACCCGGAAGAUACUGACGGUACGGGUGGAAGAAGCACCGGCUAACUCUGUGCCAGCAGCCGCGGUAAUACAGAGGAUGCGAGCGUUGUUCGGAAUUAUUGGGCGUAAAGGGCGCGUAGGCGGUGCGGUAAGUCACCUGUGAAAUCUCCUGGCUCAACUGGGAGCUUGCAGGCGAAACUGCCG